rnacentral:rRNA from 1 species
AUUGAACGCUGGCGGCAGGCCUAACACAUGCAAGUCGAACGAGUGGCAGACGGGUGAGUAAUGUCUGGGAAACUGCCUGAUGGAGGGGGAUAACUACUGGAAACGGUAGCUAAUACCGCAUACCCUCAGAUGUGCCCAGAUGGGAUUAGCUUGUUGUUGGGGUAACGGCCCACCGAGGCGACGAUCCCGAGCUGGUCUGAGAGGAUGACCAGCAACACUGGGACGGAGCCACGGUCCAUACUCCUCCGGGAGGCAGCAGUGGGGAAGAUUGCACAAUGGGCGGAAGCCUGAUGCAGCCAUGCCGCGUGUAUGAAGAAGGCCUUCGGGUUGUAAAGUACUUUCAGCGGGGAGGCGGUACCCGCAGAAGAAGCACCGGCUAACUCCGUGCCAGCAGCCGCGGUAAUUC